CCUACGGGAGGCAGCAGUGAGGAAUAUUGGUCAAUGGACGAGAGUCUGAACCAGCCAAGUAGCGUGAAGGAUGACUGCCCUAUGGGUUGUAAACUUCUUUUAUAUGGGAAUAAAGUGUUGCACGUGUGGCUUUUUGUAUGUACUUUAUGAAUAAGGAUCGGCUAACUCCGUGCCAGCAGCCGCGGUAAUACGGAGGAUCCGAGCGUUAUCCGGAUUUAUUGGGUUUAAAGGGAGCGUAGAUGGGUUGUUAAGUCAGUUGUGAAAGUUUGCGGCUCAACCGUAAAAUUGCAGUUGAAACUGGCAGUCUUGAGUACAGUAGAGGUGGGCGGAAUUCGUGGUGUAGCGGUGAAAUGCUUAGAUAUCACGAAGAACUCCGAUUGCGAAGGCAGCUUACUAGACUGCCACUGACACUGAGGCUCGAAAGUGUGGGUAUCAAACAGGAUUAGAUACCCGGGUAGUC
rnacentral:rRNA from 1 species